GGUGCCUUCAUGUAUAAAAAGGAGGGGGUGUGUGCAUUAGGAAGCAUGAGAGGCUAAGAUGCAAUUUAGAGAAAAUUGCAACUUUGGGCCCAAAGGUUUGAAUAAUUAAAUUCAAACCUAUAGUUUUUUUUAAUAUAAUUUUGGGACUCACAAUCCCAUUUUUAUAUUAUUUUUCUCUCUUCCUCUCACGUUGCUCGGCGUUUUCUCGCAAGGGGGGAUUAUUUUCUUUUUUCUUCAGAUUAUAUUGACAAAGAUAGUGGUGAAAAAGGAGUUGUGAAGGGGAACUUGUUAUUCAAGACACAAGGAGCGAAUCCGGCCGAGAAAGCACCAGAGGUGUAAUUAUGGUGUAUGAGACACCAUCUUUUACGUUGCCUCUUAUUUUGGAUUAUACAAUGUAUCUUGUGCCAACUUAGGACAUAUCUUGUCUAUGGA